GUGGGGAAUCUUCCGCAAUGGACGAAAGUCUGACGGAGCGACGCCGCGUGAGUGAAGAAGGCCUUCGGGUCGUAAAGCUCUGUCAUCAGGGACGAACGGCCGGUGGAGUGGAAAGCCACCGGAUUGACGGUACCUGAGAAGGAAGCCACGGCUAACUACGUGCCAGCAGCCGCGGUAAUACGUAGGUGGCAAGCGUUGUCCGGAAUUAUUGGGCGUAAAGCGCGCGCAGGUGGGAUCUUAAGUCCAUUUUUAAAGUUCGGAGCUCAACUCCGUGAUGGGAUGGAAACUGGGAUUCUUGAGUACCGGAGAGGAAAGCGGAAUUCCCCGUGUAGCGGUGAAAUGCGUAGAUAUUAGGAAGAACACCAGUGGCGAAGGCGACUUUCUGGACGAAAACUGACGCUGAGGCGCGAAAGCCAGGGGAGCGAACGGGAUUAGAAACCCGUGUAGUCC
rnacentral:rRNA from 1 species